CCCAACACGCGACCUUUCCUCUCGCUCUCGUUUCCUCUCCCAUGUAACCCGCGUCUCCCCUGUCAAGCCGCCGCCUCCUCUCCCUUCCCUCACAGCACCUUCUCUCUCUCGUCAUCCUCGCCUUCGACAGCCGCACGCGGAGGAGGUCACCGGCGCCCGCAUCCUCGGGUCCCCGCCGCCGAUUUGCCCCGCAGACCUCCCCUUCUUCCUUUGCUGCCGCUAGCGGCGAUCCCCAAGUGCGACCGUCGAUUGGCGGGCGAGGAAGAGGACCGCGCCCAAAUCGCUUCCAUCGUGAUUCACGUCCACCUCCAACGACCUGCAGGACCCAUGUGGCCAUGUCCCACGAUAUGGCGACUCCCAGGGCGCUGCCGCAGGGACCGACGAGGAAAUCGACCCGAGGUAAGCCCCCAAAUCGUCUCUUCUCCAUCUAUGUCGAGGUAUGGAUUUUCUAUCCACCUCACAAGGCAACCCUGCAUUUUAACUGAGAGCUCCAUAUUUGAAAUCAAGUAAAAAUCUUUAGAGGUCCAGUGUUCCAACAACUGUAUCAUCCAAUUUUCUGACUGGUACGAGGUAAAGAUGGCAGAUGGAGCAGCUGGAGAGGAUAGAGUCCAAGAUGUGUGCUCUGAGAAAAAUGGAUGGUUGAUUUGUGGAAUUUAUGAUAGAUUUAAUGAAUGAGAUGCAGCUGAUUUUCUGGCAGUAACUCUAUAUGAUAACAUAGUAUAUGACCUGUACUUAUUAGAGUGUUGUAUCAAGCAACAAGAUGGCCUAUAUAGCUCAUCAGAGAACUCCCUUAAUUAAUGGGGUUAAAAGUUAAUUCACAUUAGCCAUGGAAAUUGCAGAGAAUGAAGAUUUAAAACUUUCUGAAAGUUUUCAAGCUGGUGUGCUGAAUUGCCUCACUUCUGCUGUUGAGCAAGCUGAGAAUGAUUUCUUAUGCAUGGUUGAACAAGAUAUGGAUGAUAGAUCAGAUUUAGUUUCAGUUGGAUCUUGUGUCCUGGUUGUGCUUCUUCAGGGAACAGAUUUAUGCAUUCUAAAUCUUGGGGAUAUAUAGUAGGGUUGUGCUUGCUUCCAUGCCAUGAAUACUCUAUUGCUGCUGUUACACAUUGCUGUGCUAAUUGCAUAUUCCCGCAGGUGAAUCUCUUAUGGUUAUUGUUUGUUUUUCAUGCCCAUUGGUAUUCCAAGAGUAUCUGUUAUUAUAUUCAAAUUCAUGCUCAAAUAGAAAAUAUCACGGCAAUGGAAUUCUCCUCCUGGGUGUUUUGUAUGCGCCCGCAUUGCAGGAAGACUUCUACCUCAACUUCGUGGAUUGGUCUUUGCACAAUGUCCUCUUGGUCGGAUUGGGGAACUGCGUCUACCCGUGGAAUGCAGCAACAAGGUCACCAAGCUCUGCGAUUUGGGGGCGGACCACACUGUUUGUUCAGUGAGUUGGGCGCAGCAUGGCACCCACCUAUUUGUAGGGACUAACCAAGGCACCGUUCAGGUUUUCAUCUUGCUCCCGUCUGAAAUUGAUCAAAUGGCAUGUUCAGGGUUCAUCAAAGUUUAGGAUGAUACUUCAGUUUAUUUUUACCCAAAGCUUCAACUCAAACAACAAAUAGUACAGAGUACACGCUUGGUUGUGAGAAUGUCACCCGGUUGAUGCGAUAUGAAGUACAUUGUAGAAGUAGAACAAGCAGGAAUUUGAUUCAUCCACUUAUAUAUGCAAUAUGAAGUAUAUAUUGUAGAAGUAGAACAAGUAGAAAUUUGAUUCAUCAACUUAUAUAUGCAAUAUGAAGUAUAUAUUGUAGAAGUAGAACAAGUGCUGCCAUGUUCAAUUUGUUAUGACACAGAGGCUGAAAUAUAUACCCGUCGCUAUCCUUUGAAAUAAUGCCGACUUAGGAACUCCAUACUGAAAAACAUAUUCGUCGCUAUCCAGCUGAAGGUUAUAUAAUGUUUUGAGUUCUAGCGCUUUAGAUUCUGUGGUUCCAGCUUCUUUGUGUAAGAUCUCCACUUCCUCAUUGUCAUCUGUUUCAGUUGCGGCAAUCAAUUCUGCUCUAGCAGCACAGGAGUCCAGCCAUAGCCUUUUGUAACUUGCCAUGGCUGACUCUUGUUCUCUGAGCGCAAUAAGCCCUUCGCAAUCCUGUAUCUGGUCAGUGGUUGCUGCGAUAUCCUUUUCUAUAACCUCUAGAUCACUACCAGCUUUAUCCAACGUCUUAUAUUAAGGUACGGAGGGACUAAUUGCCAACAUAGUUCAGGUUUUCCCUUACAGUAUCUUUUCUAUCAGAAUUUGUGGUUUUAGUUCAUAUGUCAUCUGUUAGAGCAAAAAACACGAGGUUAUUCAGGUUGAGUCCCACUCAAAUUGCUUGAUUUUGGGUUCUAAUUAUGGGCAUUGAUAAAUUCAAAACAGAUAGCUUGCUUAGAGGAAUCCCACAUGGACGAUGUAACACAUGUAUGCACAUUCUAUAGAGUUUUACAUGUGCAUGUGAUUUUACAGUGGAAAUUAGUGUUAUCGCAUACUUUUGUUUUGUUAACUUUUUUGCUGGCAUUACUGUCUAAAAUAUUUAGAUGUUGGUCUGGAGCACCACUCAGAGGCCUUGUUGUCGAGUGGGAGGAUCAGAAGUAGUGGGAGGUGAUGCCGAGUAUUGUCGUAUAUUUUGCCUUUUUCAUGUCAUUUUUGUUUAGCAGAUGAUAUAUUGGUAAUUGCUUGAUGACUAUUUGGAUCACUGAAAUGGCUAAUUACUUCAUGUAUAUGAUUUAUUUGUUGGUCUCAUAUAAUCCCUUUCUCUGUUUCAGAUUUCUUUGGGAGGGGGCCCUGGUGGAUGUGUGCUAUUUUGCGGAUGUAGGCUGAGGGGGGAUUUGUAUCUGCCAUGGUUGGGGUGGAAUAGAUUGACUUGGUUUUCAGGAUUUUGUGAUCCGGUCAGCCGAUCUGCUGCAUAAAAAAAUAUUGGACCAUUCUAUACUCUUGGCUGCUUCUCCUUCAGAGUCUAUGCAGUGUGGUAUCCGAGCCAGCGUCAGGUGCGCCAAGCUCGCCGUCCACACGCCUCCUCUUCAUCUGCAUCCGCAGUGCCAAAUCCCUCCCCAUCCGAGCAGGUAGCACCCAGUUCACACCUUGGAACCGUUCGCUUCGCUUUUAUUCUGUUCGUGUAUCUGUCCUUUCAUCUUUGCAGGUGGGUCAGGCCUCGGUUGCUAUUGUUUGAUUCUGUCGGUCAAAAUUAUGUCAUAGGCACUUCUAUUACUUUGGGUUAGUCCCUGUUUUAGGUGUUUUAGGAUAUAUGGUAGAGGUUUAGGGAUACCUCUUGCCAAGGUUAUAUUAUUUUAGGUUUUGGCGACAGACAAAAAUAUACAAUAUUUAAAUGAAUCUCAGUUCAUCACUGAAAUAAUUAUGAAUAUCAAUCCAGUAAAGGUAUGAUGUACUCAUGACUUUUCUUCUUUAUGUUUGCUGUUCAAGAUACUUAUGCCACGAUGUAAAAUAUUUAUCUAAUAACUUCUCUAUUGCCGUGUAGCUAUAUCUUAACUUCUUGACAAUGCAGUAGAUGAAGUUUGUAAUGUCUUCUAACAUCUUCUAUGUACUAGAUACUCACUAAUUUAAAUUGUGUGAUAAUACCCAAAUGUCUGAAACAUGGAGUAUUCUGUUGUAAGCUGAAUAUUUGAAAUUUCACAUUCCUGUUUCUGGAAAAACCAUGCUAUACUGCUAUCUAACACAAUGCUCUGUUGAUCAGUGUGUUAAUAAUUUCGUGUAUUAUACUCUGUUUACGAAAAACCAUGCUAAAAUCUAAAAAACAUGCUAUACUACUAUCACAUUUGUUGUAUUGGGUGGUUACCAGUUAUUGUUGUGCUGAUUUAUCGCUCUUUGUUGGACAUGUUCGAUUUGCACCAAACCAGUAGAGUAAACUCAUUUCUGCGGCAGUGGAACGAUUAAUGUGCGUCUUCGGCACAUAUGCUGAUGGCCACCGCAACGGCGGGCAGCACGCCGAUCAACACUGAGUUGUUACCAUAAUCAAGGUGGGCGAGAAGAAGAGCUACACCGUGAGGGAAGCCGUUGGCAUGAACGGAUUCGGAUAAGGCCGACUCGUCUGGUCUAGUGACACCACGUGGUAGCCUGACCCUGGUGAUGUGGACCUGACUGUUGCUUUUGAACCAAUAUCAUGUAUGCCAUCUCUCAUGUAAGCUCUAAGACUGCUCCCUGCCGGUUGAUACACACUUGUUAAUAUCUAUGAUGUCAGAGCUCUUGUUUAUUGUUCCA